GAUCCGUUGGGGUGCUGUUUUCCUCCGUCCUUGGACUCCCCAGCACAAUGGCUGUGCUCGGCCCCAGCGGCUGUGCGACGCUUCUGUGUGGAACGAGAUUUAAAGCGGCGCAGCAAAUAGGUGAUAGAAAAACCAAACUCUAUUAAAAACCCAUUUUCUGCAGGCUGCUGGCAGCUGGCUGAGCAGAGGCAGGAAGGAGGCUGUGAGCACCGAGACAUGAGCUGCCGAUGGCUGUGGGAUGGGCACACGCUGGCAGCACCGAGGACGUACACUGCUCAGCCCUGGAAACAACGCUAUCCGUUUCAAUUAGAGCAAGCAGGGAAGCGGCUAUUAAGUGCUUCGUUAUUAUGGUCUUCUCCCAUCCGUGACAUGAAAGAUGAGCACCAUGGUGGCUCCAGCAGUGCAGUGCCUCUCUCUCAUCCCAGAGGUGGAGAGGAAUCGCUUAUGAUGACACGGCUGUGGGCGUGCAGCUGCCUCAGCCCCCCCCCCUUUGCCCAAAUCCACGGCACCCCCAGCGCAGGGCAGUGAGCUGCAGUGACAGUGGUGCACGUGGAACCCAUCCUCCACCACCACCAUCCCCGUGCCACCGUGGGAGUGCUGGGGACAGCGUGUCCCGUGCUAGCGAUCACGCUCAGCUCUGCUGUCAUUGCUGCUGCCUGAGCCCCGGCAAUGCUUAUGAAUAAAUGA